rnacentral:lncRNA from 1 species
CUAGCCUUGGGCAAUUGGAGCUCCUAUUACACAGGGAAACUUACUAAUGAGCUUCUUUCUUUCUUUUUUUUCUUUUUUUUUUUUUUUUUUUUUUUUUUUUUUUGGUACCGUGGAUAGAACUCUGGCUCUCACACUGGCAAGGCGGGCGGCGGAACCACCGAGCCAAAUCCCCGGCCCUCUAAUGAGCUUCUUUGACUGUUGGGGAAUGUGGAAUUUACAUUCAGAGCAUGAUAAGAUUUGGUAUAUGCUCGAACCUUGGAUCAUUGCUUGAAUAUUAUUCUUGACAUGACAGAGUUCUCUUUGAAAUGGCAAAUGCCAUUGUCUUACCUCUUGCCUAUCUACUAAGGACCUGGGAC